rnacentral:rRNA from 1 species
UACGGAGGGUGCGAGCGUUGUCCGGAAUCAUUGGGCGUAAAGGGCGCGUAGGUGGCCCGGUCAGUUCGUGGUGAAAGCGCGGGGCUCAACCCUGCGUCGGCCAUGAAUACUGCCGCGGCUGGAGCACUGUAGAGGCAGGCGGAAUUCCGGGGUGAGCGGUGGAAUGCGUAGAGAUCCGGAAGAACACCGGUGGCGAAGGCGG